UACAGAGGUGGCAAGCGUUGUUCGGAAUUACUGGGCGUAAAGGGCGCGUAGGUGGCCUUCUUAGUCAGACGUGAAAUCCCCGGGCUUAACUCGGGAACUGCGUCUGAUACUGGAAGGCUCGAGUUCGGGAGAGGAAUGUGGAAUUCCAGGUGUAGCGGUGAAAUGCGUAGAUAUCUGGAGGAACACCGGUGGCGAAGGCGGCAGCCUGGACCGGUAUUGACGCUGAGGAGCGAAAGCCAGGGGAGCAAACGGG
rnacentral:rRNA from 1 species